rnacentral:rRNA from 1 species
UACGGAGGAUGCGAGCGUUAUCCGGAUUUAUUGGGUUUAAAGGGUGCGUAGGCUGCUGUGCAAGUCAGGGGUGAAAGCCCGGCGCUUAACGCCGGAACUGCCUUUGAUACUGCUCGGCUUGAAUACUGUUGCCGUGGGAGGAAUGAGUAGUGUAGCGGUGAAAUGCAUAGAUAUUACUCAGAACACCGAUUGCGAAGGCAUCUCACGAAACAGCGAUUGACGCUGAGGCACGAAAGCGUGGGGAUCAAAC